GUUUCGAGAGGCAACCUGAUUUAUGUACUAUUUUUCUCCUAUCCGCCUGGUGCUUACUGUUCAAUUCUAAUUGCAUACAGUUAUCAGGUGCAAUGGACAGAAGCGAAUUUAAAAUCUGUAUACAAUGACCACGAAAGAAAUUCAUGGAUAUUAGACAAUUAAUUGAAGCUGGUGAAAAUGCAUUGAAACGAAUGCAAAGACUAGCUCCAAAAACAACUUUGGAUAAUGUCCUUUGUAAUAAAGCACUUGCGACGAUAUAAAUGAAACACCCCGUAGAAGAAGUACUGUGGUGGGUGGUAUGCAUACCAUCCAAGGCUUUCUUUCCUUUGUCAGUCCGUUGACGCGCAACAGGAAUCGUGAAAAUGCGUUAAAAUAAAUGAUAUCUCGAGAAGAACCGGAAGUUCCUAUUAAUACAAAAUCCUUGAAGCAGGAGAAUGAAAGAAAAGCGUUCUUCUGUUGGUCAGCUCGCGAACACGGAGGAAGAAUCAUAAAAAAGUAACCGGAGGAGAUAAGAAAGUGAAACGGGAAUAAGAUAAGGAUAAUAGAAUGAAUAGAGUAGAAUUGUAAAGGUAUCAAAAGAGAGUAAAGAAAUGAAGGAGGGAAAGAACGAAAAGUAGAAAAGGACGACUGAGAAUACGCGUGGCGAUGGUGGUGGUAUCGGGAUGGCAUUCCCGACAUUUCAUUCUGUCUUUUUUCUUCGAUCGUGCCGAUUCCUACCGGUCCACCUUCUGUCAUUGCUCCCGGUGCUUCGACCAUGAAGAGAAGCACCUUGCUCGGAACACCGUCCGCCCAUGCAACCUUCCACGCGAUCAUUCAUACGCGAUCGUACCUGGAACAACGAUCGCAACGAUUAAUGCUCCGUUCCUCUUAUAAUCAUCCUCUUAACCCUUUCGCUACCGACUCUAUAAAAACAACGGUCACAAUGUAAAAUCGGUAAUUACUCUUACGAGUAACGCGAAUUUUCGAACGUAUUAAAUGCACCGGACGAAAGCGAUUUCGUCCGAAAUAGCGAGAACGCUCCCAAAGCACGAAUCAUUAGGAGGAAGAAAAACACGGAGCAUCCAUAACGGAUGUCGUUUAAGAGUGAAUGGGUGAAACGAGAAACGUCAUCGGCAUGACGUAGGAUCUGAAAUUCAUCCGGCUAUCGCAACGAACCACAUGUAUACGUAUACUGACGGGAUGAGCCAUGAUUUUCGUGCUGUUAGAGAGUGGCUGCAUUUUCUGCGCCGGUGGCGGUCACGAGGGCGCGAACUAGUUCGUGAAUCAUGCCUAGAAUGCUUUACAUAAAUUGCUCGGGACCGACGUCACGUUCUCGGACCCUAAGCAUGAGGCGACCAUCGAGAGAAAGAUGGAAGAAGAAGAGAGAGGGAAUAAUAUGUUCGUUGGCCACGGUAAGAAGUGACUCAGCCUUGCCCGUACGCAUGCGGGACACACGGCUAUUACGAGGAGAAGUCAGAAAUCUCCGGAAAGGUGAAAGUAUACAUAUAUGCGCGACUCAUCCGCGAACCAACGUGGACGAGGAAUCCUCGGAUAUCCGAUUCCGUGAAAGAAUCUUGCGUAGAACGUGACCGCAAUGCGAUUUCGUUGCGUCAAAGCAGGAACCAUCCGCGGUGCCAUUCGGAAAUGGUAUAUACCGUAUCUAACGGAGACUUUGAUUAUCCAUAUUCUAUUAACAACGUCGAAAACGCGAAUUUCGAAAUUUAAGAAUUUGGAACUUUGCCUUGCACCUUCCUUGAUACCAUUAUCAUUUUCCAAUAAAUAUUCCAUGAUUAUUAUACGCUAUCAA